AAUUCUCUGUUCAACCAACACACACAUACAUACAUAUACACACACUCUUUCUUCUAAUUAAAAAUAUUUCUCCAUUCCAUUCUUCCCCAAACGCAAACGCCAUUCCUUUUCUUCCUUCCAAUGUAUGUACAGAGGCUGACGACGACUAGUACAACAUUACUCCUCUCCAUCAUCAUUCAAUCCUUCGCUCCGCUCCAUUUCCUACUCUCCCGCCCACCUUCCUCUCUUCAAUUUCCUUUCCCUAGCUACCAGGUAGGCAGGUUACAAUUACAACCUCCUUCUCCUUCUUCUUCUUCUUCUUCUUCCUCUUCUUCUUCUUCUCUUCUUCUUCUUCUUCUUCUUCUUCUUCUUCUUCUUCUUCUUCUUCUUCUUCGCCUUCUUCUUCGCUUCUUUCCUCCAAUAGUUUGUGUUAUGUAUAGCACAUAUCAAUCAAUAUUUUUCAACUGAUUUUUGUUUCAUCAUUUUCAGCUCCUUUCUUUCUUUCUUUCUUUCUUUCUUUCUUUCUUUCUUUCUUUCCUUCCUUCCUCUACUUUCUAUGAAUCAACUACAUAUAUACCUAACUAACUUCAAACAGGAUUGGUGCAACAACAACUUCAAACAGGACUGGUUGAUUGAUUGAUUCAGAUUUGAGUCUUGGAGAAUUGUUCCUACCUUUUCCCCUUUCCUCUGCUUCAAGUCUUACAAGUUGGUGCCCCACAAUGGUGGUUGUCGGGCGUACUAAUGGAUACUUGAAUGACACGGUUCCGAUGAGAAGCUCCGCAGCCACAGUUGCGCAAGUCGAUGAGUUCUGCCGUGCCCUUGGAGGGAACAAACCAAUCCAUAGUAUUUUGAUCGCUAACAAUGCCAUGGCUGCUGUCAAGUUCAUUCGUAGUGUUAGAACAUGGGCUUAUGAAACUUUUGGCACAGAAAAGGCCAUAUUGUUGGUUGCUAUGGCUACUCCUGAGGACAUGAGAAUCAAUGCCGAACACAUUAGAAUGGCUGAUCAAUUCGUUGAAGUUCCUGGCGGCACCAACAAUAAUAACUAUGCCAAUGUCCAGCUUAUUGUCGAGGUGCGUUUAAUAUUAUCUACCUUACACUGUUGCUGCUCGUGUACGCUUUCUUCUGUUUGUUUAACCAUAGUUAAGCCAAUAAGGAACUAAGAUAGUCAGCUACUUUUAAGUUACCGGAUCGUGGUUUUAUACUGAAAUCUUUGUUUCCUCAUUUGAACACGACCUUUUGUCUGCAAAAUGAACGGAUGCUAGUCAUAUCUGACUUGUUUCAUUCAUUAUGAGAAAGGCAUAUCUGACCUGAAGAUGCCUCUCCUAUAACUUUCAACUUUUUACAUUUCAAGUCCAUAACUUUUUUCCUAUGGUUCUGCAUUUUGCAAUUCAUAGAUGGCAGAGAUAACACGUGUUGAUGCUGUUUGGCCUGGAUGGGGUCAUGCAUCUGAGAACCCUGAACUGCCAGAUGCUCUAAAUGCCAAAGGGAUUAUAUUUCUUGGACCCCCAGGUCCUUCUAUGGGAGCAUUAGGGGAUAAGAUUGGCUCUUCGUUGAUUGCUCAAGCUGCUGAUGUUCCUACCCUUCCAUGGAGUGGCUCUCAUGUAAUAUCAUCAUUAUCAAGAUCUCAAUGUGCUCCAGUGUUCAUCUUUGUACUUCAGAUUUAAUUUAAGAAUUCUAUCUAUACUGUUUUCAGGUUAAAAUGUCUCAAGAAAAUAGCCUGUUUACUAUCCCGGAUGACAUUUACAGGCAAGCAUGUGUGCAUACAACUGAGGAAGCCAUUGCUAGUUGUCAAGUUGUUGGUUACCCUGCAAUGAUCAAGGCAUCUUGGGGUGGUGGUGGUAAGGGGAUAAGGAAGGUAUGUUUCUACUGCCAAUUCGCUGGAUUUGUUAUACCUUUUGAUUUGGUUAGUUAGGUUAUAAUACUGGACUAACUUUCUCGAGUUAGUUCAAAGAGGCUUUACGUUCCAUAAGUUGUAUGAUUCAACACUUCAUCAUGUUAUAUUUUGAACUAUAGGUUCACAAUGAUGAUGAAGUUAGAGCAUUGUUCAAGCAAGUUCAGGGUGAAGUUCCUGGUUCACCCAUAUUUAUAAUGAAAGUUGCUUCUCAGGUUUGUCUUUAGAGAAACUUUUCUUCUGAAUUUGCAACAAUUUGUAGAUUUCACGCGGGAAACUAAAUCUUCUUCUGAUGAUCCAUUUGCUUUCACUAGAGCCGACAUUUAGAGGUGCAGUUACUCUGUGAUCAAUACAGUAAUGUAGCAGCCUUACAUAGUCGUGAUUGCAGUGUCCAGAGGAGGCACCAGAAGGUAAGUAGUGAAACAUUGCAUCUAUUUUGGUAUAUGCUUAGCAUUUUUCCUGCUCUUCCUAACUGCCGUAAGUUUUGCUGCUUAUUUUAGUUAUAGUGCAAACUUGUCUUUGACCGACGCUUGCAAGAUCUUUGCUGACUAUUGUGCAUUAAAUAGAUUAUUGAGGAGGGUCCCAUUACCAUUGCGCCAUUGGAGACUGUUAAGAAGUUGGAGCAGGCAGCUCGAAGAUUGGCAAAAAGUGUGAAUUAUGUUGGUGCAGCCACAGUUGAGUAUUUGUAUAGCAUGGACAGUGGGGAUUAUUACUUUUUGGAACUCAACCCUCGGCUACAGGUGGGUAACAGUUUCUUUACAGAUGGUUAUUGUCACAUUUUCCUUGGAGAGAUCUGUCUGUGGUGUUAACUGGUCAACCAUGAUCAAUGGUUAUUCAGGGAUUAAGCGUCAGAGGACCAGGGCACAUGUUAAGUGUGAAAAAAGCCAUUUCCUUGGUGUUAGGCAGUCCUUUGCUAUGUCUAUUCAUCAUGUGACGAGUUAACAAAUAACUGGAAUUAAUGUUUUUUCCCAUAGCAAACUGUCCUGUUUUCAACAUAAUCAUUAACUGUAAUUGAAGUUACUGUAGAGGGAAAUGAUUAUAAAAUUCUUUUUCAACUUCCUAACAAUCUGAAAUAAUUGAAAUAAAGGUGGAGCACCCUGUUACUGAAUGGAUCGCUGAGAUAAAUUUACCAGCUGCCCAGGUUGCCGUUGGGAUGGGUAUUCCUUUAUGGCAAAUUCCUGGUAAGCAUUUCAAAGCUGUCUAUAUAUACAUGUUAUUGAGCAUACCACACAAACGAAUUUGAACACUUUCCGAAAGUACUGAGUUAUUUACUUUAUUUUGUUAGAGAUACGGCGAUUUUAUGGAGUAGAAUAUGGUGGAGGGUAUGAUGCUUGGAGGAACACGUCUGCUUUUGCAACAUCUUUUGACUUUGACAAAGCAGAAUCUAUCAAGCCCAAAGGUCAUUGUGUAGCAGUGCGUGUUACCAGCGAGGAUCCGGAUGAUGGUUUCAAGCCUACCAGUGGGAAAGUACAGGUACUGUAUUCAUUGGAUCUGAUCCGCUUUUAUUUUCCACAAUGAAAUUGUUUAUUAACAACUAUUGUUAAUUCUUGUAUCUCUAUACAGGAACUUAGUUUUAAAAGUAAGCCAAAUAUAUGGGCUUACUUCUCCGUCAAGGUAUUGGAACUGCCUUCUAGAUGAAAGGUUUGAUUAAGUUGCCCAUCCUUGUAAUUGAAACUCUUGGUUUUCUAACUUAAUUGCUUUACAAUGUACUGCAGUCUGGAGGAGGUAUUCAUGAAUUUUCUGAUUCCCAAUUUGGUAAGUAUCUACUACAAGCAGUUUCCAAUGUAAUUAGAAUUAAUUCGCUUAAAGAAAUUGGCACAACCUGAUAAAAGACUUCAUAUUUUUUUUUCGCAUGCAACAUGAAUUACUCUGUUUACUAAAAAACGUUAGAUCCAUCUGUUCUAACAGUGGUAUAUUUCAGUUAACCUUAGGUGGUCCUUAAAGGUUACGAAAGUUGUUCUUUUUGUGGUCGCUAAAAUUGUACUGGAUCUUUCUCAGGACAUGUAUUUGCAUUUGGGGAGUCUAGAGCUUUGGCUAUAGCAAAUAUGGUAUUAGGUCUGAAAGAAAUUCAAAUCAGAGGAGAAAUUCGCACCAAUGUUGAUUACACUGUCGAUCUUCUACAUGUAAAGGCCACUCUCAUGACCACCGUCUUUUGAUCUUGUAUAUGCUUUUUGUUCUCAAACUUUAGUUCUGGUGAAAAUUUUGUGCAGGCUUCAGAUUAUAGAGACAACAAAAUCCAUACGGGUUGGUUGGAUAGUAGGAUUGCCAUGCGGGUUAGGGCUGAAAGGCCCCCUUGGUAUCUAUCUGUUGUUGGAGGUGCUUUAUAUGUAAGCCGUCUGGAAUCAAAACUAAAUUUGCACUAGCGUUUUUCAGAGUAAGGUACUUAUUUUGCUGUCCUUUCUUCAGAAAGCAUCGGCUAGCAGCGCAGCUGUGGUGUCAGAUUAUGUUGGUUAUCUUGAAAAGGGCCAGAUUCCUCCCAAGGUAUUGUAAGAAGCAGCUGUUUGAAUUAUUGUCAGCAUCAGGUGAACUAACUAAGUGAUGCUAACGUUGGUCUAUUUUCAGCACAUAUCACUUGUGAACUCUCAAGUGUCAUUGAAUAUUGAAGGAAGCAAAUACACGGUACUAAUACAUUAUGAUGCGAUACCUAUAUUUGUAUAUAAAUUGUUUAGAAGCUCAUUCAUUCUCUUUUUCCAUAACUUUAAAAGAUUAACAAUUAUUUUACUCUUAACAUUCAUAGAUUGACAUGGUUAGAGGGGGACCAGGAAGUUACAGAUUGAGGAUGAAUGGUUCAGAGAUUGAAGCAGAGAUUCAUACUUUACGUGAUGGAGGCUUAUUGAUGCAGGCAAGUGCUCAUCUAGUGCACAAUUUCACAUUUCAUCCCUGUUAGUAUGAAAUCUAAUUGCGUAUGCUUUACUACAGUUAGAUGGGAAGAGUCACGUGAUAUAUGCAGAGGAAGAGGCUGCUGGAACUCGGCUGCUCAUUGAUGGAAGAACUUGCUUAUUGCAAAAUGAUCACGAUCCUUCAAAAUUAAUUGCAGAGACUCCAUGCAAGCUACUGAGAUAUUUGGUUUCAGAUGGUAGUCAUGUUGAUGCUGAUACUCCAUAUGCAGAGGUUGAAGUUAUGAAGAUGUGUAUGCCUCUCCUGUCACCUGCCUCUGGAGUUGUUCACUUUAAAAUGUCUGAGGGUCAAGCAAUGCAGGUAAACCAGUACCCCUUCUCGAACUAUGUAUUUUUCGUUGCAGUAGAAUGUCUCUGAUUUAAGUUUUCUUUUAGGCCGGUGAGCUUAUAGCAAGUCUUGAUCUUGAUGAUCCAUCGGCAGUACGAAAGGCUGAACCUUUUCACGGUAGCUUCCCCAUAUUGGGACCUCCAACUGCAAUUUCCGGCAAAGUUCAUCAGAGAUGUGCUGCUAGUGUAAAUGCUGCUCGCAUGGUUCUUGCUGGCUAUUAUCAUACCAUUGAUGAAGUAAGUACUUUUGAGAUCUAUACCAUACAAGUGAUGACCCCAUUACUACUGUCCUCAUCUUGUUGAAGCACCACACUUGUCUCUUCUUUAGAGUGGUUUUGGGGGUUCACACUAUUGGUCUUUAAGAGCAGCGGUUCUUCCUAUGUUGCUUGAUAUUUUUCUUUGCCCUUAAUUACUUAAACAGGUAGUGCAGAACCUGCUCAAUUCACUUGAUAGUCCCGAACUUCCUUUUCUUCAAUGGCAAGAAUGUUUUGCUGUUCUGGCAAAUCGCCUUCCUAAAGGGCUCAGAAUUGAGGUGAUUGCCUUCUUCUCAUUGUUGUUUUAAUCAUUGUUAUUUUUUAACUUGAUCUUAUAUAAGCAUUAAAUUCAUCAAUAAUCUUACUUUGGCAUUUUUUCCAGUUGGAAUCAAGAUAUAGGGAGUUUGAAGAGAUAUCUAGGUCUCAGACUGUUGAUUUCCCAGCGAAACCGCUGAGGGUUGCUCUUGAGGUGAUAUUGAGCAUUUUAUCCUGCUUGAUUCCCUUGUUUACCCGAAUUCUGUAGUAUGUACUGAGAAUGUCUCCAUUCUCCCGCAGGCGCAUUUAUCAUCUUGUCCUGAAAAGGAGAAAGGAGCCCAGGAAAGGAUAGUAGAACCUUUGAUGAGUCUUGUUAAGUCUUAUGAAGGUGGCAGGGAAAGUCAUGCUCGACUUAUAGUUCAGUCACUUUUCGAAGAGUAUUUGUCGGUUGAAGAAUUAUUUAGUGAUAAUAUUCAGGUAAGGUGUUAUCAUUGACUCUAAGUCUACAAUUCACAGAAAAUGUUUUUUAAUAGUAAAGUUACUUCUUCGUUUUAACGUAACAUUUCAUGCAGAAUGCAGUUCGACAAAAUGGCUUUUGUAAUUUUUUUUGUUUAUCUCCUUCACACCACGAUUUUUUUUCCUGUCAACCCUUUUCUCAUUUUAACUUAUCUCCCAUCUGGAACAUGAACAUGUAGUGAGCUGGAGGGAAUCACUAUGACAGCUUACUCACUGUGCUAGAAUUUUAGUUCUGCUUUGUGUUUGAUACUAUUCCCUUACUUUGUGGUAGAAGUUAAAUUAACUUAUAACAUGUGAACUAACUUGAAAUAAGUGAGUGACUGGUCAGUGGACUUCGUAUCUGGCAUUCUAUAUGGAAGAAAUCCAUUACAGAAAGCGGUUUAGUUUAUUUGAUAUAUUAUUGUCCAGGCCGAUGUGAUCGAACGGCUUCGACUUCAAUAUAAGAAAGAUCUGCUGAAGGUUGUGGAUAUUGUACUGUCUCAUCAGGUAGGAGAUAUUUGCAUGUUUACAUAGAAUGGCGUUUUCUUUAUUUACUUGCUAUUGGAUGAGCGAAACAGAACUGAUUGGUUUUCCUCACAGGGUGUGAAGAGUAAAAACAAGCUGAUACUAAGGCUUAUGGAACAACUGGUUUAUCCUAACCCUGCAGCAUAUAGGGACAAAUUGAUCCGGUUCUCUCAACUUAACCACACAAGUUACUCUGAGGUUGGUUUUGUGUGUCUGAUUAAUAUAUUCUACUUUAUUCUUUCCAAAACUGGUGUCUAGGAGGUGCUGAUUAUUAUUUUCUUCGGGCCUGUACCAAUGUGAUUUCCAUUGUGGGCAUCUGAUGUUCUGCAUUUCAAGUCAAUUAAUAUUGCUAUAUCCAACUCUUAAUAUCAAAUUUAUGGCGUGCAGCUGGCUUUGAAGGCAAGUCAACUCCUCGAACAAACAAAACUGAGUGAACUUCGUUCUACCAUUGCUAGAAGUCUCUCUGAGUUGGAGAUGUUUACUGAAGAUGGGGAGAACAUGGACACUCCAAAGCGAAAAAGUGCCAUUAAUGAACGAAUGGAGGAUCUUGUCAGUGCACCUUUAGCAGUUGAAGAUGCCCUUGUGGGCCUCUUUGAUCACAGUGAUCAUACGCUUCAAAGGCGGGUUGUCGAAACCUAUGUUCGUAGGCUGUACCAGGUAAUUUGCUUAUGAAAAUAGGAUGGUAUUGUCUUCUGCUUGGGGAUGAUCAUUAUUUUUCACUUUUUAACAUUUUUGGUCCUGUUGUCAGCCUUAUCUUGUAAAGGGCAGUGUGAGAAUGCAGCGGGAUAGAUCUGGCCUUAUUGCAUCAUGGGAGUUCGUGGAAGAGCAUAUUGAGAGAAAGAAUGGUUCCGGAGAUGAAAUGUUUGAUAAGCUAAUAGUCGAGAAACAUUCCGACAGAAAAUGGGGAGCCAUGGUCAUCAUCAAAUCUCUUCAACUUUUGCCAGCGACUGUCUGUGCUGCAUUAAGAGAAAGGUCGAACAACCUUGAUGGCUAUGGUGAAUCACAUGGAUUUGGUAAUAUGAUGCAUAUUGGGUUGGUAGGCAUAAACAACCAGAUGAGUCUACUGCAGGACAGGUACCCAGGGUGCUAUCUAUUCCAUUCUGGUUGCAUAGAAACUGUUAGUGAUAAAUGCUUUCUAUAGGGUAUUAUUAUCCCGACGAAUUUCUUUGUUUAAGAUCCUUUGAUGGAAAUCAAAACUUUGGUAAAAUUUGGCAGUGGUGAUGAAGAUCAAGCGCAGGAAAGAAUCAAGAAGUUAGCUAAGAUACUCAAAGAGGGAGAAGUAGGAUCAAUUUUGCGCUCUGCAGGCGUUGGGGUUAUUAGUUGCAUCAUACAGAGGGAUGAAGGGCGACCACCUAUGAGGCACUCCUUCCAUUGGUCAGCGGAAAAGAAAUAUUUUGCUGAAGAACCUUUAUUGAGACAUCUAGAACCUCCACUUUCAAUCUAUCUGGAACUGGUAUGUAUUCAGUUUCACGUUGUCCCCUUCUUUCAUUCAUCUAACAACUGUUGUUUUCCUACUUAGAAUCUGUGGAAUGAUCAAUCUUAACACUACAAACUUAUUGACUCAGGACAAGCUCAAAGGGUAUGGGAAUAUACAAUAUACUCCGUCAAGGGACCGACAAUGGCAUUUAUACACUGUCAUUGAUAAGCCAGUUCCAAUCCAGCGGAUGUUUCUUAGAUCACUAGUACGGCAACCAACUUCCCCAGAUGGAUUUACUGCAUAUCAAGGACUGGCAAUGGAAGCAUUUCUGUACCUCUGUAUCUUGCGUGAGCAAAACAUAGAAGAUCUUGUGCCUUAUCCCAAGUGAUUUUCUCAGCUCUUGGUUAUCCUUCUGUUUUAUAAUUUUGGCUUCUCCUCUAAGUUCUAAUAUUGAAUACUUAUUCUUCAGAAGAGUUGAGGAUUAUGCUGGACAAGAAGAAGCUGUUGUUGAGACAAUUUUGGGAGAAUUAGCAAGGCAAAUCCACAGAUUUGCUGGUGUGAGAAUGCAUAGGUUAAGUGUUUGUGAGUGGGAAGUGAAGUUAUGGAUUGGGUCACAAGGAGAGGCAAAUGGUGCCUGGAGGGUUGUUGUCACCAAUGUUACUGGUCAUACCUGUACCGUGCAUGUAAGUUCUCAUAUAAUAACUAUGACAGCCCAGUUGUGUCUAUUUCUCUUAGUUGGUUAUCUCACGUAAUAGACUUGGGACCAAAUAAUAUUAUAUGAAGUGAGACAUCUGAAUAUGAGCGACCUCCUUGUACUCCAUAAAGUUGUCCACUAUCCUUGCCAAUAUGUGAUUCAGUCCUUAGAUUAGCUAACUAGCAGGAAUGUCCUGGGAAACAAUAAAUGCUCCAUCAACUCGUUCAGUUAGUCUGAUAAGUUAGAAUAUUUAAGGUUUAUAUAAUAUCUCUUGUAUCAGCAUAGAAGGUUUACUGUUCAGUGGCAAGUAUUUGUAUUCGACUUCUCAGUGACCUUGUUUUACUUCCUUUGGCAUAUAUUUUUUAGUUGCACUGAUAUAAGUGUUGCAUACAGAUAUACAGGGAACUAGAGGACACCUCUAAGCACACAGUGGUAUACCAUUCGAGCUCCGCAGAGUGCCCUCUCCAAGGAAUAUCGGUGAAUGCUGAGUAUCCACCAUUGGGUUUUCUUGACAGAAAGCGUCUAGUGGCAAGGAGGAGUAGUGCCACUUACUGCUAUGAUUUUCCAUUGGUUAGUACUGCAUUAUCUCUGGCGGCCUAAUCUAUCCUCACUUUCAGUUGUAGAUAAUUCACAUGACUGCAUAAUAUGCUGCUGAGAAUGCAUACCCUUCCUGCAGGCAUUUGAGACAUCCUUGAGAGAAUUAUGGGCUUCCCAGUAUCCCGAAUUUGCAGUGAGGAAGGAUAAAGGUCUUCUCAAAGUAACAGAGCUUGUAUUUUCUGAUAAGGAAGGUCUUUGGGGCACUUCCCUGGUUUCUUCUGAACGCCCGACUGGGCUUAAUGAUGUGGGGAUGGUGGCAUGGAGCAUGGAAAUGUCAACUCCUGAAUUCCCUGCUGGAAGGACAAUAAUCAUAGUGGCAAAUGAUGUGACAUUUAAAGCUGGAUCUUUUGGACCAAAAGAAGAUGCCUUCUUUGCUGCAGUUACCGAGCUGGCUUGUUCCAAGAAGUUGCCACUAAUUUAUUUGGCUGCAAAUUCUGGUGCUCGUAUUGGCGCCGCUGAGGAGGUCAAGUCCUGCUUCAAAGUUGGGUGGUCAGAUGAAGUAUCCCCAGAGCGUGGUUUUCAGUAUGUGUAUUUGACUGGGGAGGAUUACAGUCGCAUUAAAUCAUCCGUGGUUGCACACAAGUUGAAGCUGGAUAGUGGAGAAACUAGGUGGGUUAUAGAUGCUAUUGUUGGUAAGGAGGAUGGUCUAGGAGUUGAGAAUUUAUCGGGGAGUGGAGCUAUUGCUAGUGCAUAUUCUAGGGCAUAUGGGGAAACAUUUACCUUGACUUAUGUUACUGGAAGAACUGUUGGUAUUGGUGCUUACCUUGCACGCCUUGGCAUGCGCUGCAUACAGAGGCUUGAUCAGCCAAUCAUUUUGACUGGUUUCUCUGCAUUGAACAAACUUCUGGGUCGUGAGGUUUAUAGCUCUCAUAUGCAACUUGGGGGUCCUAAAAUUAUGGCUACUAAUGGUGUUGUGCAUCUUACAGUAUCAGAUGAUCUUGAAGGAGUAACGGCUAUCUUGAAAUGGCUGAGUUGCAUACCAGCCUACGUGGGUGGUGAACUACCCAUUUCAAAACCUCUGGAUUCUCCAGAAAGACGUGUGGAAUACAUCCCCGAAAAUUCGUGUGAUCCACGGGCUGCUAUUGCUGGUGCUGUGGAUGGCAGUGGAAAAUGGGUGGGAGGUAUUUUUGACAAGGAUAGCUUUGUUGAGACGCUUGAAGGUUGGGCAAGGACAGUUGUUACCGGAAGGGCAAAGCUGGGAGGAAUCCCGGUAGGUAUCGUAGCAGUGGAGACACAGACCGUAAUGCAGGUGAUCCCUGCUGAUCCAGGUCAGCUUGAUUCCCAUGAGAGAGUUGUUCCUCAGGCUGGGCAAGUAUGGUUUCCAGAUUCUGCUACGAAAACAGCUCAAGCAAUUCUAGAUUUCAACAGAGAGGAGCUUCCCCUAUUCAUUCUUGCGAACUGGAGAGGCUUUUCUGGAGGGCAGAGGGACCUUUUUGAAGGGAUCCUACAAGCUGGUUCUACUAUUGUUGAGAACCUCCGAACAUACAAUCAACCUGUUUUUGUGUACAUUCCAAUGAUGGGAGAGCUUCGAGGCGGAGCAUGGGUUGUUGUAGAUAGUCAGAUCAAUUCAGACCACAUUGAAAUGUAUGCUGAUCGUACAGCCAAAGGUAAUGUGCUGGAACCGGAAGGAAUGAUUGAGAUCAAAUUCAGGACAAAGGAACUGAUUGAGUGCAUGAGUAGGCUUGAUCAACCAUUGAUGGCAUUGAAGGAAAAGCUUGACAAGGCCAAGAGGAAUGGAGAUGGGGGGACGACGACCAUGAUAGAUUGUAUACAGCAGCAAGUAAAAGCUAGGGAGAAGCAGUUGUUACCAGUGUACACACAGAUUGCAACCAAAUUUGCAGAACUCCAUGAUAGUUCCCUUAGGAUGGAGGCGAAAGGGGUGAUCAGAAAAGUGGUUGAUUGGGAGAUAUCUCGUUGGUAUUUCUAUCAAAGGCUACGGAGAAGAAUAGCAGAAGCUUCAGUGGUGAAGACAGUGAGAGAAGCUGGUGGGGAGCAGCAAGUUUCUUAUAAAUGUGGUAUGGAUAUGGUGAAGAGAUGGUUUUUAGAAUCUGAUAUUGGAGGAGGUAAAGAUGAUAGUUGGUUGAGUGAUGAAUGUUUCUUUCGAUGGAGAGACGAUGAUGAUGCAAGUAAUUACAAACAAAAGCUGCAAGAGUUGAGGGUUCAAAAAGUGCUUUCACACUUGUCCAAUAUUGGUGCCUCAGAGGCUGAUCUGACUGCUCUUCCUCAAGCUCUUGCUGCCCUUCUAACCAAGGUAUUUUAUUAUUUAAUAUUGAUAUUGUUUUUUUGAACAAAAAAAGGUAAAAAUCCCAGAAAGGACUUGUGAAUCAUAUCAUAAUCAUGCAGGUAGAAGAGUCCUCAAGCAGAAGAGGUGAGUUGGUUGAUGAACUGAGGAAGGUGUUGGGUUGAGUAUUUGCAUUUNNNNNNNNNNNNNNNNNNNNNNNNNNNNNNNNNNNNNNNNNNNNNNNNNNNNNNNNNNNNNNNNNNNNNNNNNNNNNNNNNNNNNNNNNNNNNNNNNNNNNNNNNNNNNNNNNNNNNNNNNNNNNNNNAAUAAUAAUAAUAAUAAUAAUAAUAAUAAUAAUAGUGAAAUCAUGCCAAACCCAACUUUCACAUUAUUUGUUAUUUGUGGGAUCAGAUUAUCAUGUAAAUAAAUAAGGUGCCAGCCAGUUCUAUCAAUUCUUGUGUAUUUCAAAUUCCAUUGUCCAUAUUUUUUUUAGAUUGUGCUUCAUUCUUACUGGCUUCUCCCUCCCGAGCAUUCAUGCAGAAUGCCCCGAUUAGAUUGUUUAAAACACAGAUUUACUUGAUCCGAGAAGAAAAAUUACAGGAAUGAUAUGAAUAAGUAAAAAUAACUGAAAAUUGUUCAGAUAACAUAAAGUCUCAUAUGAAACUAAAUGAGAGGUGCAAUUAUCCAAACAAAAGGAUUCGAAUAAAAAAGUAACCGAUAUUCCGAAAAAAAAUUGACCAACCAGUUUCCCUAGCCCACAUUUGCUCGAGAAAAUGGAUUUGGCAAAAUGUAUAAUGAGGGUUUUCACUGGCCCACCAGACGUUUGGUGUUUCUUUUCCGUCUUACCCUUUGACUCCUUCGACUCCUUCAGCUGAUGGUCUCCCUCGCAAUUAAACUCUCAACUCCUUUCUUCUGUUGCCUUCUUGCGUUCACAGCUAAUAUCGGUUGAUUUCUUCAAAUAAUGGGCUGGCUAAUUCAAGGUAAACGCACCAUCUACCUCAUUGUAUCUCCUAGAUUUCAAUUUCAUAGCUCUUUCUUUGAUCUGUGGCGGCUGGAUUUGAGCGAUAAGGUUUGAUUGUGGCCGAAUUACAGAUUUGUGUUGCCAUAUAGUCAGUGAGCUCGAUGAGCUCAUUGUCCUCACUCACUUACCAAAAUUCGUUACUACAGAAGGACAAUUUUAUACGGAGGCGCCAUGUACAGACCAACUAGGCAACUGGUUGUUCAUGCCAGCAUUAUUACAGAGUUCAGGUUAUAUGCAAUGAACUGCUUUCAGACUUUGUAAAAGGGUUUGAGCUGAUUAUUCUGUUGAUUGUUUAUGAUUUGUUCACAAGAUUUUUUACCAAAGCAACUUGACAUAUGUGAUGAUCAUUUGGUUGUUUGUACCGCUUCCGAAGACUGGAAAGACCAGAACGAAUGGAUAAGAGCUGCAAGUCGUCAUGGUUUAUCACCUUCACAUCGGUUCUUUAUGUACCAACCAAUAGAGUUUGGUUUGGAUAGGCUGUGGACAUGGGAAGGAACUGUUCAGUGCUAAUACCACUUAGGCUUUUCAAGAAAUUCCUCUUCAUUGCUGUUGUGACCAUCAAACUAUUUGGAAGGGCACAUUUGUAAAAUGACCACCAACCCAUUAGUUUAUUAAAAUGAGAAAGAACGAAGUUUUACAAAAUUUCAUUCAACCAAACAAUGUAUUUGUAUUUCCUCAAUUAGAAUAUAAUUCAUAAUUCCUCAAUCUACAAAUUUCAUAUUUCCUCUAUUCACCAAUCCACUAAAUCAAACAAGUUACUCAACCAUCACACAAUUUUUGAUUCCUCAAUUUCCCAUUCUAACAUUUCCUCCAUUCCCAAACGACCCCUAAUUCUUGCAGGAUCAUUAUAAUUUUGGGAUAAGAAUUAACAUAUAGUGGCAUAACUAUAUUUAUAACUAUUUCUUAAAUUUGAAUUGUUGAACUAUAUUUAUAAUUAUUAUUUACACAUAAGUUCAAAUGUGAUAUAUUACUUUAUUCAAAAAAAAAAAAAGUGAGUAAAAAUUCAAAUAACAGUAGCUGAAUCACAAAAUUAUAGUCCACACGGGUUAGUGGCAGAAAGUUAAUCAUGUACUAUCUACUAUUUAUCUUAAAGAAAACGAUGUAGUGGGUUGUAGAAUAAAUGUAAUAACAACAUGUUUUUUAUUAUUAUAUGACAACACUAUUAUUUAUUAUUAGAUUAAAUAUUAUGUGAAGGCUAAAAUAUAAAAAAACAAAUAUAUAAAAUUACUAUCUAAUUAGGGUGAUGUAAUGAUGAUGGGCAAGUAGUUGCUGCAAUUGGAGGAAGCUGGGUUAUGGGAUCUUAUUCUUUCACUCUAGAGCUCCCACAUCCAAAAUAGAAAAUCCAUGGACUGCUCCCAACACCUAGCUAAUCAAAAGUUGUCGAUAGAGGUCAACGGGAGCCACGUUCUUGUUCAUCGACGGUGUUUUCUUCAAUGGUGGCGUCUAAAUCCGCCUCAUCCUCCUCCAUCGAAACCCAUGCCAAUAGGCGUCGACAUGAUUUACGAAGUGCACUAACAGUUGUCGAUCUAGUCUUCUCUUCGUGUCACUGGUUCGUCGGUGGAAGGAGGCAAAACGGAGGUUCGAAGGUUUCAACGACAUUUACUUACUUUGUUCAUGUAUGGUACUUGUUGCUACUUACAGGUAUAUGUUGUUUUAUUUUAUUAGUACCUUGAAUCCGUUGAAGAUACUGACUUUCAUUGAUGUCGGUUCCUAUUAUCAAUGUACAAUAAAUACUACUUUUUUCUCUUAAUGCGAUAUUUGUGAGUGAUUCGAGAUACUGAUUUUCCGUGUAUUAUGAAUUUACAGGUAUAGAUUACAGUGUUGUGGUACCAAGUUACACUUCAUAUAUGGAAGUUUCAAAGAAAAACCGAAAAGAGACUUGAGAAAGUGGAAGAUAAAAAUAACGACAAUAUUUUUAUUACUUAAUCUAAGUGGUAAAAUGAAAACUUUUUAAAAUAAUCAAAAGUCCAACUAAUCUAGGCUUUUAAAUAUAAAUAAUUAAAUAAAUUAAUGUUUUAGAUUAGUGUUGUCAUGCGACAACAAAACACCAAUUGUCAGAAUAAGGUAUUCGUUGUAGGAAUGGUUGGUUUGGUAGUGAAGGGGAACGAGUUCAAUCCUUGAGUCUACCUUAUAACCAGGUAAUAAUAAUGUUGUUUUAAUCCAGUGGUAUCAGUUGACACGCCUUAAUAUGAGCUACCUCCCGCUAUUGUGUGUUGGUAAUUUGAAAGUCUUUGAUUUGAAUUCAUCACACCUUACAAAUAGACAUUUUUAUAAUAUUAAUUUCUCUCUUUAUCUUGUAUUUUGUCGAGAGAUUUAUCUCUAAAAAAAAGUUACAAAUAUUAUGUUAAUUGAAAAAAUCGUAUAGGUAAAACUAUUCCCUUGUUUAAUACCUCAGUCUAUUUUUGUUAAGGGUAGAACGAUUGGGGAUAAUAUCUUAUUAGCUCAUGAUCUUGUUAAUGCUUAUCAUUUGAAGCAUUUUCUCAAGAUAUGCUCCGAAAAUUAAUCUGAGGAAAACAUUCGAUUCUGUUAAUUUGCAUUAUCUAUUUAAUGUCAUUGAAGCUAUGAAAUUUCCUAAAAAAAUUAUUUGUUAGAUUCGUGGAUGUCUAGACUCAGUGAUGUUCAGUAUGAGUAUUAAUGGACGUUCGGUAGGAUAUUUUGUAGGAUGUAAGGGGUUGAGGCAAGGGAAUCCCCAUUUUCUUACCUUUUUUUGUGAUUUUUAUGAAAAUUCUACACUUUUUAAUGAGGAAAGCUACUAAUCAAGGGCAUACUCCUUUCAAGAAAUGUAGGAAAUUUGAAAUUACUUAGUUAAGUUUCGUGGGUGACUUGCUUAUUUUUACAAAUGGAACCGCUAAAGGGGUUGAUGGAAUUUGUCAGGCUCUUAAUAAAUUCUACACCCAUUAUGGGUUGCAACUUAAUCUGGAGAAGACAGAAAUAUUCUUCUUUGUUUCAGUCUCACCGGAUGUUAGAUCUGAUGCUAUGGCAAUAUCGGAUUUUAAAGAAGGUAAGCUUCUUGUACGAUAUCUUGGUGUUCCUUUUAUUUCUGGAAAACUUACAACAAACGAUUGUGAUCUUCUGAUGGAAAAGAUUACAGCUAGGGUUAAAGGUUGAAGAGUUAAAACUUCAACUAUGCAGGUAGACUCGAGCUUAUUAAGUCAGUUCUUAAUGUAAUGAGUCAACAUUGGAUGUUUGUCAUCUAAUUACCUAAGCAGCUUAUUCGUUCAAUUGAGAAAAUCUAUAAUGACUAUUUUUGGGAUGUCAGAGAUGGUAGUAGGAAGAAAGCUAAGAUUGUUUGGAAAUAUAUUGCUCUGUCACUGCAAGAAGGAGGUUUGGGAGUUAGAGAUCUUUAUGAUUGGAAUUUUUCCUGUAUUAUCUAUCAUGUUUGGGACAUUCUCAUGCAAGCUGGUUCCCUUUAUACUGCGUAGGUGAAUGAAUUCAGGCUCAAGAGAUGCUCCAUCUUGGGUUGCAACGGUGUUCCGUAUCACUCUUGGGUCUGGAGACGUAUUUUAAGCGCUCGUGAUAAAGCUCUAUGCUAUAUUUCCUUUGACCAAGAUCAGCUUCCUAUGUGGUGUGUAAAGCCUAUGCUUCACUACAUAAUUUUUUCAGUUUGUGACACUAUUAGAGUGAAAAAGCCUUGUGUUCUCUGAUUUAAUAUUGUAUGGGGAGCUCAUUUGAUUUGUAAGCAUUCUUUUAUUGUUUGGAUGGUCAUCCAUAGUCGUUUAACUUUUCACGUUUGCAAAUGGCUUUUUGGGGUUGGUGGUCGAUAUUUCUUGUUUACUCUAUAACUCUGGAGUCGAUGAUAUCAGUCCUAUUAUUGUUGACUAUCAAUUCAUUUUGAGAAAUGUUAAAUGAGACCCAAUGUUGGUAUUGAAUAUUAUUAGGAAGAUUUGUAAAAAACACUUGUAUAUAGACAAAAAUAAUUUUGAGCUUUGUAAUAGAUAGUUUUUUCCUUAAGUUUUUGGUGAGCAGAUCUUACACUGACGUUAUAAUGGUGGAAGUGUUAUCUUGACCCAAAUAUUUCAAAGUGAUAUCUUGACCUAAACAUCACUUCUAAAUAUUCAUUUCAAACAACUAAAAAGUAUUUAAAAAAAUUAUAUAGAAAUUGUUAGGGUUUUCAAUGGUAGAAAUUAAACGUGGAAAGAAUAUUAAAUAUUUGAUGCUCAUAUGUGGUCAUUGGAAAAAAAGAAUAUAUACGACUUUCGAUUUGGUUGGUUGAUAAUAGUAUAUUAAUUUAAUUCCAAGUGGGGCGCGCGAGUGGGUCCACCACAGGGACUAGUAUUAUUACCGUAUUCGGCUUCAAAUACAUGUACAGUUUUACACACACAAGCAGGUAGGUAAUGGAAUUUCAAUUGGACCAUACAAAUUAAGAGUUUAAAUUAAUUAGAGAUAAUAUUGUUGUAUUAAUUUUAAUAUUUUUUUGGAUCAUAAUCUAAUAAUAUUUUAUGAUCAUUAUAUGAUUUUCAGUGAUCGAAAUUUUUUUCAGUCAUUUCGACCUAUUUUGACGAAAAUUCUUGUACCAACAUCAUCAUCGUCGCAUCAUCGUCGUUGGCUUUGUGAAAAAAACAUUCUGAAUUUCUGUACUGAACAUACAAUUUUGUACGAAAAUUUAUAUGAAUCACAAAAAUAUUUAUAAAUUUGUACAAAUUCAUAUACAAGCAUUAUACACAUUUAUAUAACUUUAUAUAAAGCAUAAUAUUAAAUAGCAUACAUAUUUGUAUGACUUUGAAAACUAAUGCAAUUAUUAAAAUUUUAAUAUAAAUAUUAAUUUUACUUUUUAUUUUCAAUCAUUAAAUCUUGAAUAUGAUUUUUAAACCGUUAAAAUUAUUAAAAUUGUUAAAAUUAAAUCCAAAAACCAUUUAUGUAACUCGAAAUUCCAACUCCCGGCACCCAGGCAACCAAACAAAUAAAUAAAAUGCAUGUCGACAUCCCCUCGACAUCUUUGGCUCAUUUUCUCUAAUAAUAAAAAACUUUAAAAGUGUCAUAAAAAAUGCCGUAUCUCCCGAUCAUUCCCUCCUCCGUAGUUCUUCUUCCCCCUCGAAACUCAAAACUCUCUGCCCUCUCGCUUCUCCCAAUGGAUACCAUCACUCAAUUGUUUCCCUCGUUGAACUCCAUCGCCGCCGCUGCUACUACUGCUGCUGCACCCUUGGUUUAC
rnacentral:lncRNA from 1 species